UAUCAUUUGGGUACAAUUAUUAUUUUCUCUAGUUUCUGUGGAUUCGAGAAAAAAAAGAGUGUUUGUGAAGAAGGCGCAAGCUUCAAGAUAGCAGAG